UACAGAGGGUGCGAGCGUUACUCGGAAUUACUGGGCGUAAAGCGUGCGUAGACGGUUAUUUAAGUCGGGCGUGAAAGCCCCGGGCUCAACCUGGGAAUUGCAUUCGAGACUGAAUAGCUAGGGUGCGGUAGAGGGAAGCGGAAUUUCCGGUGUAGCGGUGAAAUGCGUAGAUAUCGGGAGGAACACCAGUAGCGAAGGCGACACUCUGGGCCGGUACUGACGCUGAGGAGCGAAAGCGUGGGGAGCAAACAGG
rnacentral:rRNA from 1 species